rnacentral:rRNA from 1 species
CCUACGGAAGGCAGCAGUGGGGAAUAUUGGACAAUGGGGGGAACCCUGAUCCAGCCAUGCCGCGUGUGUGAAGAAGGCCCUCGGGUUGUAAAGCACUUUCAGUGAGGAAGAACGCCUGGUGGUUAAUACCCAUCAGGAAAGACAUCACUCACAGAAGAAGCACCGGCUAACUCCGUGCCAGCAGCCGCGGUAAUACGGAGGGUGCGAGCGUUAAUCGGAAUUACUGGGCGUAAAGCGCGCGUAGGUGGCUUGAUAAGCCGGUUGUGAAAGCCCCGGGCUCAACCUGGGAACGGCAUCCGGAACUGUCAAGCUAGAGUGCAGGAGAGGAAGGUAGAAUUCCCGGUGUAGCGGUGAAAUGCGUAGAGAUCGGGAGGAAUACCAGUGGCGAAGGCGGCCUUCUGGACUGACACUGACACUGAGGUGCGAAAGCGUGGGUAGCAAACAGGAUUAGAUACCCCUGUAGUC